CCUACGGGUGGCAGCAGUGAGGAAUAUUGGUCAAUGGGCGCAAGCCUGAACCAGCCAAGUCGCGUGAGGGAAGACGGCCCUACGGGUUGUAAACCUCUUUUGCCGGGGAGCAAGCCUGAGCACGUGUGCCCAGGCGGAGAGUACCCGGAGAAAAAGCAUCGGCUAACUCCGUGCCAGCAGCCGCGGUAAUACGGAGGAUGCGAGCGUUAUCCGGAUUUAUUGGGUUUAAAGGGAGCGUAGGCCGGUCUUUAAGCGUGCCGUGAAAUUUUGUGGCUCAACCAUGAGAGUGCGGCGCGAACUGGAGGCCUUGAGUGCGCGGAAGGCAGGCGGAAUGCGUGGUGUAGCGGUGAAAUGCUUAGAUAUCACGAAGAACCCCGAUUGCGAAGGCAGCCUGCCGCAGCGUUACUGACGCUGAGGCUCGAAAGCGCGGGUAUCGAACAGGAUUAGAUACCCUGGUAGUC
rnacentral:rRNA from 1 species